rnacentral:rRNA from 1 species
GGGGAAUAUUGCGCAAUGGGCGAAAGCCUGACGCAGCGACGCCGCGUGUGGGAUGAAGGUCUUCGGAUUGUAAACCACUGUCGGGAGGGACGAAGCUCUGACGGUACCUCCAAAGGAAGCACCGGCUAACUCUGUGCCAGCAGCCGCGGUAAUACAGAGGGUGCGAGCGUUGUCCGGAAUCACUGGGUGUAAAGGGCGCGUAGGCGGCUUGAUAAGUAGGGGGUGAAAUCUCAUGGCUCAACUGUGAGGCUGCCUUCUAGACUGUCUGGCUUGAGCACAGUAGAGGCGAGUGGAAUUCCCGGUGUAGCGGUGGAAUGCGUAGAGAUCGGGAAGAACAUCGGUGGCGAAGGCGGCUCGCUGGGCUGUUGCUGACGCUGAUGCGCGAAAGCGUGGGGAGCAAAC